rnacentral:rRNA from 1 species
GAUGAACGCUGGCGACGUGCCUAAUACAUGCAAGUCGAGCGAACAGAUGAGGAGCUUGCUCCUCUGACGUUAGCGGCGGACGGGUGAGUAACACGUGGAUAACCUACCUAUAAGACUGGGAUAACUUCGGGAAACCGGAGCUAAUACCGGAUAAUAUAUUUAACCGCAUGGUUCAAUAGUGAAAGACGGUUUUGCUGUCACUUAUAGAUGGAUCCGCGCCGCAUUAGCUAGUUGGUAAGGUAACGGCUUACCAAGGCAACGAUGCGUAGCCGACCUGAGAGGGUGAUCGGCCAAACUGGAACUGAGACACGGUCCAGACUCCUAUGGGAGGCAGCAGUAGGGAAUCUUCCGCAAUGGGCGAAAGCCUGACGGAGCAAAGCCGCGUGAGUGAUGAAGGUCUUCGGAUCGUAAAACUCUGUUAUUAGGGAAGAACAAAUGUGUAAGUAACUAUGCACGUCUUGACGGUACCUAAUCAGAAAGCCACGGCUAACUACGUG